CAUCAGAGCUGCUGUGCUCUGUGCGUGUCGGGGAGGCGUGCUGCAUGUUGUCACUGAUUCACGGAACGCUGCUCGCUCCUGUGUUGUGUUCUUUUAUUUACCCCCCUCUUUUCUACCCAACUACCCAGCAGGAAAGACAAGCUCUCGGGCUCAGACCCAAAAUGGGUUAGAAAAGAAGAAAAAAAGCCACCUAUGGAUUAUCCACUUUGUGCACUUCGGCGAGGAUGAUGGAGGAGGAGGAGGGCGGGAGGACAUGGACUUGUUUUCGCGGAGACAUCCUGACAAAGACGGGGACUGAGAGGGAGUAGGGACCCGAUAGGAUCCGCUGCCUCUUCUCUCUCUCUCGCUUUGCAUCUUUUGUUUUUAUUUAUUUUUUUGUUGUUGUUUAUUUUGUUACUUCCUCCCCGCGCGUGUGUUCGAGACAGAAAUGUUUGCAGAAUUGCUGUGCGGCGCCGUGGCUCUGGUCCUGUAUGUCAACACUCUGGGCGCCGAUUUCUGCUACGAUGACAGCCGUGCAAUCAAGACCAAUCAGGACCUGCUCCCAGAGACCCCCUGGACAAACAUCUUCUACGAUGACUUCUGGGGCACCUUACUCACACACAGUGGCAGCCAUAAGUCCUACCGACCCCUCUGCACCCUCUCCUUCCGCCUUAACCAUGCCGUGGGUGGGCUGGAGCCUUGGGGUUACCACCUGGUGAAUGUGGCCUUCCACGGGGCUGUGACCGGCCUGUUUACCUGCCUGGCUCGCCUGCUGCUGGGAGGAGGGCUGUGGAGCCUGCUAGCCGGCCUGCUCUUCGCCUCUCACCCCAUCCACACGGAGGCGGUGGCCGGCGUGGUCGGGCGGGCCGAUGAAGGCGCUGCCCUGUUCUUCUUGCUGUCCCUGCUGUGCUAUAUACGUCACUGCAGGCUGCGGGGUCAGGCGGAGUCGUGGCGGCUCGUGGCCUGGUUCGUCGUUAGCCUGGGCUGCGCUGCCUGCAGCAUGCUGUGGAAGGAGCUGGGAGUGACCGUCCUGGCCGUAUCAGCGCUGUACGAUGUCUGCGUUUUCCACAAGCUCAAAUUGAGACAGAUCAUCAUGCUACUAUACAAGAGGAAGAACGUCCACCUACUGCUGAAUGUGUUUCUGCUGGCAGCCUGGGGAGUCGCCCUAUUGGCCGGCCGCUUCUACUGGAUGGGCAACAAGCCGCCAAACUUCUCCAACUCCGACAACCCGGCGGCCGACUCGCCCUCGCUCCUCAUCAGGACGCUAACGUUUUUCUACCUGCCUGCCAUUAACUUUUGGCUUCUCCUUUGCCCGGACACGCUGAGUUUCGAUUGGUCGAUGGACGCCUUGCCUCUGAUCAGGAGCUUUGCUGAUUGGAGGAACUUUCACACAGGACUCUUCUACCUGGGCUUGCUGUUGCUGGCUUGGUUCAGCCUGUGGACGCAGCAGGCGGCAAAGGGCAGGGACACCAACGGCAAAGCGCAUCAUUACACCAAUGGCAGGAAUGGGAACAGUAAUGGACACAGCUACCAGUGCAACAAUCAUGAACACACUAACAACUCCCACACAGACGCUUAUAAUCACAGUGCACAAAAUGGUACCAAAAAGCACUAUGAGAGCAGGACUCCACUGCCUACCACUGAAAAUGUUGUGGUGUUCUCACUCGGCCUCUUGGUUAUCCCUUUUCUACCUGCCACAAACUUGUUUUUCUAUGUGGGGUUUGUGAUAGCGGAGAGGGUCCUGUACAUCCCCAGCAUGGGCUUCUGCCUGCUGGUGGCGGUGGGGGGGAGAUCCCUGUACAUCCGAAUGCGACGCAGGUCCUCCAGGACGAUGUUGGUGUACUUCAGUGCAGCCCUGGUUCUACUUUUUGGUGUCAAAACUGUUCUGAGGAACCGGGACUGGCAGAACGAAGAGAUGCUCUACAAGUCAGGGAUUUAUGUCAAUCCUGCUAAAGCAUGGGGCAACCUUGGAAACGUCUUGAAGAGCCAAGGGAAGAUGGAGAAGGCUGAGCAGGCGUACAGAAACGCCCUCUACUACCGCAGCAACAUGGCUGACAUGCUGUACAACCUCGGUUUGCUGCUGCAGGAGAGCAACAAGUUCUCCGAGGCUCUCCACUACUAUAAGCUGGCCAUUGGGAGCCGGCCAACUCUGGCUUCGGCCUACUUGAACACAGGCAUCAUCCUGAUGAAUCAGGCUCGCCUGGAUGAGGCCAAGCGCACCUUCCUGACCUGUGCUGAUAUCCCUGAUGAGAACCUGAAGGACCCUCAUGCCCACAAGAGCUCCGUCACCAGCUGCCUGUACAACCUGGGCAAGCUGCUGCACGAGCAGGGACACCAGGAGGAGGCCCUGUCGGUGUUUAAAGAAGCGAUACAGAAAAUGCCAAGACAAUUUGCACCACAGAGCCUCUACAACAUGAUGGGAGAGGCCUACAUGAGGCUGAACAAGCUGACUGAAGCCGAACACUGGUACCGAGAGUCACUGCGAGCCAAGCCGGACCAUAUUCCUGCACACCUCACCUACGGCAAACUGCUGGCUAUGACGGGGCAGAAAACAGAAGCAGAGAGGUACUUCCUGAAGGCCAUCCAGCUCGAUCCCACAAAAGGCAACUGUUACAUGCAUUAUGGUCAGUUUUUGUUGGAAGAGUCGCGGCUGCUGGAAGCGGCAGAGAUGGCAAAGAAAGCUGCACGCCUUGACAGUGGGGAGUUUGAUGUGGUCUUCAGCGCGGCCCACAUGCUCAGACAAGCCAGCCUAAAUGAAGCAGCAGAGAAGUAUUACGGACAAGCAGCAAGCCUGAGACCCAAUUACCCCGCUGCCUUGAUGAACCUCGGGGCGAUUCUCCACCUCAAUGGGAAACUGCAAGAAGCUGAAGCCAAUUACCUCCGAGCACUUCAACUGAAACCCGAUGACACCAUCACCCAGUCCAAUCUGCGUAAGCUGUGGAACAUUAUGGAGAAACAGGGCCUGAGGACCGCGAGCCCCUGAGCUCACCCAGCCCGCUUACCUGCCAUCUGCACGCCAGACCCGGGGAAAAGGACAACCUUCGUGCUCCUCGUUCGCUCCUCUCGGAGAUGGAGGAGACUCAGGGAGGAUGUUUGCUCAGAGAGGCCCUGACUACACCUCACAGUCCUCCUAAUGACUCCUGAGCUCCACAUACACCUCAGGCCAGCAGCUUUUCCUCACAAGCGUUGCUCACAGUUUGGCAGGUGCUACGUGGUAUUUGGACUCUUGCUUCAAAGUUAGAGCUCACACAGAAUUCAUGUGUGGGUUUUUGUUUUUUUCUUUUAUCUUAAGAGCACUUAAACUUGAAGUGAGACCACAGGUACAUGCGUCAACAUUUGUCAUGAAUUAGAUUUUUAAUUAAACAAUUCCCCUCUAAAUAAUAUCCCAAGUAGUGCAAAGUUAAAUAGAAAAGAGAGAAAAGAGCCUCAGAGUUCCAUCUUGAUAAUGAAGAAAAUAAGGUAAUAUGAAGAACUUAACGCCAUCCAAAAUCUCCAUAUUAAUAUUAAAUCUCCAGUCUGUUGUUUUUUUGUUCACAUCCUCUAUUAAUUUGCUCAUGAGAUUAAGGAUUAGCACCAUUAUUGCAAACCAACUGUAGCAGGUGUCCUGACAUUCAACUUGAAAAAGGGAAAUUCAGCUUUUUAGCCAUUGUAGCGUAGCAUCCAGAAAGGCGGGAUUUCGCCAAAUGCAGCAAGUUUUUGGCAGGAAAACUCUAAAAAGUAAAGUGUAUUCACAGUGUAAGGACCUAAAAGGUGCGAAAUCUUCAUCACAAGUGUAGCAUACAGGUGGCAUUUCUACCGUUACUGUUCUAAAGAACGGUCACUUUUUCUUGAGAAGCUACGAAUACACAUAUUAAGCUACAAUGUUGUGGCAGUCAAAGGGCAGGUACUGUAGUUUUGGGUCCACCGCCUUCCCUCACGCCUCAGGCUUUUACAGAGGAUUGUGUGUGGAGCUCAAACAGAUGAAGGAAUUCUUCUAACCAAAUACAAAAGCUACACUGAUGCACACCUUUGAAUAUGAGGACGAUGCACAGUCGUGGCACGUUCGAGGGAAAUGUUUUAAUGCCUUUGUGUUGGAAUAAAGUAAUUUCAAUGUGUUUGUAUAAAUGAAUCCUAAUAUAUACCUACAUUGUGUAUAGUAUACAGAAAAAUCACGCAGCAAAAAAGUAGCCGGACAUAAAGCAGAAGCAAAUAUGGCUCGUUAUGAUACAAAUAUCUCCUGUUCUCAGUCUUAAGGUCUCAUUUGUACAUAUUCUAUGUAAUUAACAUCUAUUUGUUUGUUUUGUUGUCGUCAGCAUACAGUAAGUGAAACAGCACCUUCCCGGGAGUAAGAAAAUGUACAGCUCCUCCACCUCCUACCUGUGUCCUUAGUUUAUUACAUGCCGCCCCCACAGUUCAGACCCCGCUGACAGGCAAAAGGCUCUUCCCUGUGAGCGAAGCCCUCUGCCUUGUGAUGUUUCUCACAUGUCUGCGUGGAAGGUCUGCUCCCAUGAUCCCCGCUCACCACGGUGCCCAGUUUUCCUUAUUGGUGUGGAAUGCACGGGCCCCGCUCGCACUGUCCGGUCCACUUUCACUCUUCUUCUCAUAACACAGGCCUCACCAGGGUUUUCACCCAGUGCUGUGAGGAGAAGCCAUCAAACAGCGCAUGACAGCACGUUAGCCCCAAAGCUACGCCCAUUAAACCUAUCCAACAGUCAUUGUCUUGUGUCUUAUUAUAUCUUUAUCCCAGAUUGUGAUUUCCCAUGUAGGUAAUGAAGCUGACCUUUACCUGAACCUUUGAAAAAAAAAAAAAAAAAAAACAAGAAACCAUUUCCAACAGUUUGAUCUGGGCUGAAAUAUGACAACUCAACUAAUUGAGCAGACAUUUGUUGUCUCUGGAGGAUUAAUCCUAGUAAUUUACAACACUAUGAGUCAGAAUUUUCUGUUUUCCUGUAAAAUAUGUCAACAUACACCAGACGUCCAGGCAACACUUUGUGCAGGUAGUGGGAUUCCCAGAAAAUUUACCCUGAUGAUUGUUGGAUCGAUCUAGAAUCAUCUGUAGUUUGUGUUUAGUGCUGAAGCUAAUCUUCUCAUCUAGGAUAGUUUCUAUACAUGUGGGAAACAUGAAGUCAGCUUUAAUGUGGUUGUGAGUAUUUUAACACAAAGAAACUCUUCACUCGUCUGUUUAUUUUAUUUUAUUUUACUUUGUUUUUUUUAAAUUAGACAGUAUGUGGGAGUCUAAAUAUGUUGUGAAUACUUGAAUAUGCUCUGAUUAGCAUUUAGCUUCAAGCACCACUGGGCCCAUGUGCAUCUCACUGGCAUGGCUUUGGACUCUUGGUGUAUUCACAACAUGCUGGAAAAACAAUCUGGUCUCACAGUGUUUACUACUCAAACCGUAGUUGCAUCUGCAUGAUAAUAUUUCAGCAAAAUUACUAGUCAAUCUUUUGAGGAUCUAUUUCAGUCCAUAUUCUUAUUGUACAGUUUCUGGAAACUCAAAAUCACAAGUUUCCCAUUUCAUUUUCACCAGUCUUUCCAUUGGUGACCAGUGUUUAACCCUGCAGAUCUUCUACCUAAACUUGUAUGGAUGCUUUGGUAAACCGCGUUGCUAACUGAAAAGGAAAUGAUUUAUUUGAUUCUGAUACUUGAAUGCUUAAAUGAGUAGACCUACAGACAUGAUUAUAAUCUGAAAGCUGAAUUAGUCUUGUUAAAGUUCAUGCGGUUUCAAAGGCUUGGCCUGUCUUAUUGGAUUUGUUAAAUACAGUAAAUGUACCAACAUUUGGGCCAUGCAAUUCCACUCUUGUAUUGAAUCUCUUUCUACACAAGACCAAUGUGCAACCACUGCCAAAAUAACCAAACUAGCUUUCCUAAAAUGAACGAAACAGGCACAUGCUGAGCUUAUUAGUUUAUUUGGAUCUCAGUGUCAAUGGCCUUAAAACAAACAGCGAUGUUUCUGAGCUCUCGUGUCCUCAUUUGCCUUUAAACCUCUCAGCACUCGAGUGUUUGAGUGUUUACGCAAGCAUAUAAUUUUGUCAGUUCUUGUUUGCACUGCACAGCUUGGAUUAGAGUGGUACCAUAAAGUAAUUCAAAGAUCCACUGACAGCACCAUUAUGGGCAGCAAAGCGCCGGCAAAUUAAAUAAUCACAGGAAUUUUAGACUGAUGUGAAGAUCAAUGAUAUAUAACAGAUUUUAGUUUAUAUUUCAUAGUGCGAGGUGCAUUUCUUUAAAAACAGAUAUGUCAGAAAGGUUUAUGAAAAAGGAGGCUUGAAAAUAUUUUCCUUCCCCAAGGAAAAUCUCAUAUACUUUAAAUACUUUUUUAUCUACAAAAUAUCCACAUUUGUCUCAUGGCAUUAAACAGAACCUGGAAUCCCUGAGUCCAAGCACCUAAGGAAAUAAAGAAGCUCCGUGUUCUGCUCUUAUGACAUUGUAAUGUGCUUCUUUGCUUUCUAUGACCUCCUGCACUCGAGAACAGCUCAAACUGAGAUAAAGGAAUUUGUCUUAUUAUGUUGUGAUCUGGAAAAUCUGCCCGCUGUUAUCAAGCAAAUAUUUUUUUGGUAUGUGCUGAUGAACUAUCGCUACUUUGAUCUGGAAUGCCUGAGCUGGCUGCUCACAGCUUCUUUGGAGUGGGUCGGCUGUGCGUGAUGCUGAGAAGUCCUUCCCUCUGGACCCAAUACCCUCUGUUAUCGUUUGAUAGAAGGAGCAUUAAGGUGAAGCUCCUGCAUGAGAUGCAGACUCUGCCUCACUUUAUUAAAGUGUUUUGAAGUCCAGAAAGGAUAUUGCUUUCUUUGGCGUCGUGUUACCAGGCAAUAUGUUCUACUGUAGCAGAACCUACUGCUUCUAAAUGCAAUGUGGUGAUUAACCCUCCUGUUGUCUUCAUUUACAGGCACCAAAAAAUAUUGUUUCAUUAUCUGAAAAUUUUUUUUUAAAUUCUGCAAAAAAAAAUCCUGAAAUUUCUGAAAAUUUGCAAAACCUUCAGGAAGAAAAUUCCAAUAAUUACUUAAAAGUUUUAUUUUUUAAAAAAUCCCCCAAAUUUGGCAAGAAAAUUCUUGUAAAUAUUUUCAAAAAAUGAGUGAAAAUCUGUGAUUACAUAUAUAUCAGUAAAACUUCUAAUAUUUAUUUUUUUGUGAAUGUUCUUAAGAAACAUUUUUAACAUUUCUUUUUUUCCACCAAAAAAUGUUGAAAAUGUGGACAUCAGAAGUUUCACUGUGAAAAUACAUAUUUUUUUCCACAUUUUCAAACUUUGAAAUGGGUCAAUUUUGACCCGCAGGACGACACGAGGGUUAAAACGUGGCAAAGAUCAUGAUCACUUUACAUUAAGCUAUAAAGCACACUGUUUAGGCCUUACUCUGUGAAGUAACACGUCGCCAAAACUGAGUCAUCCUCUGUAUGAUGCUUUUAAAGAACAUAAAAUAAGUAAUUUAGGUUUUUGUUUUAUCUUGUAUAACUGCAUGAUUACCACCAGGGUUAACCACUUUGGAGUAAUGCCAAGCUACAAUGUGUUUAUUGCUGAUAUUGUGUGAAUACAGCAAAUAUAGAUUGACACAGAACCCUUUGCAUGGCUGUAAAACUUUACUGGAUUAUUUAUGAAUUCCUGUAAUGUCUCUAAACCAUCAUCUGAGACUAGCAAACUAGCAAACCAAAUAAGAUAUCAAAGCAUAUCAGUGAUUGGACGCCAUGUUUCUACUUUUAAUGUAACUUUCAUACUUUGACCGCUCAAAGUUUUGUUAUUUUCCCCUAGUGUGGUUUCAUACAUUAGCUGAAUUAUUUCCCUCACAUUCCUUGGCUUAUACCCCCUUUGCAUAUAUUCUAUUAAAGUCAUAAUGAAAAGUUAA